UGCGCAGGUGGCCUGUUAAGUCAGGGGUGAAAUAUGACGGCUCAACCGUCAAACUGCCCCUGAAACUGACAGGCUUGAGUCCGGGAGAGGUAGGUGGAAUUCCAGGUGUAGCGGUGAAAUGCGUAAAUAUCUGGAGGAACACCGGUGGCGAAGGCGGCCUACUGGCCCGGAACUGACGCUCAGGCACGAAAGCAUGGGGAGCGAACG
rnacentral:rRNA from 1 species